AUUGAACGCUGGCGGCAGGCCUAACACAUGCAAGUCGAACGGAGUGGCGGACGGGUGAGUAACGCGUAGGUAACUGCCUCAUAGCGGGGGAUAACUAUUGGAAACGAUAGCUAAUACCGCAUACUGUGAGAUGGACCUGCGUUGUAUUAGCUAGUUGGUGAGGUAAAGGCUCACCAAGGCGACGAUACAUAGCCGACCUGAGGUGGUGGACGGCCACACUGGGAAUGAGACAAGGCCCAGACUGCUACGGGAGGCAAGAGGAGGGAAGUUUCGGAAAUGGACGGAAGUCUGACCGAGCAACGGCGCGGGGGUGAAGAAGGUUUUCGGAGUGUAAAGCUCUGUUGUUAGAGAAGCGGUAACUAAACAGAAAGCAACGGCUAACUACGUGCCAGCAGCCGCGGUAAUAC
rnacentral:rRNA from 1 species